UACGUAUGGAGCAAGCGUUAUCCGGAUUUACUGGGUGUAAAGGGAGCGCAGGCGGUCUGGCAAGUCUGAUGUGAAAGGCCGGGGCUCAACUCCGGGACUGCAUUGGAAACUGUCAGACUGGAGUGUCGGAGAGGUAAGCGGAAUUCCUGGUGUAGCGGUGAAAUGCGUAGAUAUUAGGAGGAACACCAGUGGCGAAGGCGGCUUACUGGACGAUGACUGACGCUGAGGCUCGAAAGCGUGGGGAGCAAACAGG
rnacentral:rRNA from 1 species